GCCAGGGUCCUGAUGACAUCCAGCUGGUAUCAAAAGGCAACUCAGAGAGGGAGAGAGAGAGAGAGUCACAAACCGAAAAACUGGUCAAAGUUCUAGAAAUGUUUGACCUUUGCUUUCAACAUGCAAGCCAGACUUAUAGCUGUUUCAUAAGAACAGAGCACCACCUUGUGUUGCCACCAGUAUACUGACCAUCAGUGAAUGCACCACAGCAGCAUACUCCUCUUCAAAACAUCUGUCCCAUCUGACUUAAAAGUCACUAAUGUAGCGCCAAUUUUUAAAAAGGGCUUGAGAGGCAGUCCUGGCAAUUACAGGAGACACUCAUUUACUAAGGGAAAUCUACUUCACCAUAAAAAAGUGCAAAGAAUUCAGACCAAAAUGCAGCAUUGCAAAAUGAGCACUUUAUUGUAUGAGUGAACAUACCGUGUUGAUGCCAGGAUAACAAUUGGAAGAUUCCUUGAGACAUCAUUAUUGGUGAUGGCCAAAUCACUGUAACAGAUGGGGAAACGUGAGACAGCACAAAAAUGACCUUGGGAAUCAAGAGUAUCACUCUAAUGUUUCAAAAGACGCUCCAGAGUGAAUGAAUGUUUACCGGAUGGUACCACAGGAGUUCAAAUACUGAAAAGACAUUUCAUGAUUACACUGACACCUUAUCUUUCUACCAUCUAUCGGGACAAAGUGAGUAAUUUGGCUUCAUAUUGUCUGGGAUAUUUAUUCUUUAGACAGACUGAAAAUUGUUGCAAAGGAAUGAGACCGCCUAUCUUGACAUAAAGGUAGUUUCAAAUAUCAAGAUCACUGAGAAUGGUAUGAAGCUACUAUAUUUGAGUGUAGACAGCAAUAAAACAUAACUCUUUUGGUGGAACGAGUGGCUUGGAUUCAAGUGAAGAGUAAAGAAUUGUCUAUACAUUGCAAUCAAGAUACUUUUCUCACCAGGAAGGAACACAGUUUUCAGUGUUUGCUGCUGCCUUCCGUGGAUGUCAGAAAUCAGGCCCAAAACAUUGAUAUUGUAGGACUCUUGGUGUCUCAGAUGCAGUUUAUUCCAGCAACAGAAGUAUGACUAGCAUUUGGGCAUAGCAAACAUUUAGAAUAUCUUACAGCAGAUGCUAUUGCAACAUAGGUAAAUUAAAGAUCUUACCAGUGUUCAACGCCUUCAUAAUAUGUAACAACACCAUCUCCUAUUCUUUGCAGAGACAGGCAAAAUGGCAUGGGAAACAUGGAAUAUAUUCCCAGUGGUAACUGUUGCCUUUUUGCAAUUACCCCAGCAUGUGUUCCUGAUAUCUGUAUAGCACAGCUAGAGAGAUAUGUGGGAUUUCUUUCUGAUCAAAGCAGAGAGUGGGGUUCAGUGAACAAAGACAGGCAACACUACAUUGUUCUGUAAGCAAUUGCACACUUGGGAGAAUAUUCCCCAGGGAAAGGCAUUGAUGUAACACACCAGGCAUGCUGCUUACCAAGCUGGGCAUACAGUAUUUGGAGGUACAGGGCUGACUCAUAGUUACACUAAGAUCCAUGUACACUGCUCUUGCAGGAAGUGUCAGAGAGCUGGUUAUAGCUCACAAUGCCACUAAGCUGCUGUUGGGUCCUCAUGAACUCCAUGCCAAUGGAAGAUUGGUGUAACAGAGCGGAGCUCCACCAGGCCCUUCCCCUCCUCUCUGACAUGCUCCCAAGUUGUGAGGGAAGAUCCACAAUCACAGUCCCAGAUCCAGCAGUUACUUCAAGGAGAGUUUCCUUGUACCAGGGGAAUUCGCUGUUGGAAACUGGCAGUCAGAUUGUGGUCCCUGAGCCGUGCAAAGGAGCCAGAUGUCAUUAGACAAUCUGGCUGAAUGUGCUGUCUUUGCAGAGCUCUGCCUGACACCCAUGGAAGUUCUGCCCAUGGAACAAGUGCAGACUAGAAACUCUUUGGGGCAGGGACUGUGAUUGUUGUACGUGUAUACAGCACUUAGAGCAGUGCUGCCUCCAUACCAAUAUUCAGGGAUGAUGAUAACAGUUAAUAAUAGUGAGGACAGCAGAAGAACAUUUUGCCUUUAGUAAGUCCAAGUCUUUUUGGGAAAAAGUAGAUGACGUAAGUGCUGACUUGAGGUUUAAUUUUCAGUCUUUUUUACAUGUGAUCCUGCAGAGAUUUUGCUAAUGAAAUAAAUGA